rnacentral:rRNA from 1 species
AGAGUUUGAUCAUGGCUCAGAUUGAACGCUGGCGGCAGGCCUAACACAUGCAAGUCGAACGGUAACAGGAAGAAGCUUGCUUCUUUGCUGACGAGUGGCGGACGGGUGAGUAAUGUCUGGGAAACUGCCUGAUGGAGGGGGAUAACUACUGGAAACGGUAGCUAAUACCGCAUAACGUCGCAAGACCAAAGAGGGGGACCUUCGGGCCUCUUGCCAUCGGAUGUGCCCAGAUGGGAUUAGCUAGUAGGUGGGGUAACGGCUCACCUAGGCGACGAUCCCUAGCUGGUCUGAGAGGAUGACCAGCCACACUGGAACUGAGACACGGUCCAGACUCCUACGGGAGGCAGCAGUGGGGAAUAUUGCACAAUGGGCGCAAGCCUGAUGCAGCCAUGCCGCGUGUAUGAAGAAGGCCUUCGGGUUGUAAAGUACUUUCAGCGGGGAGGAAGGGAGUAAAGUUAAUACCUUUGCUCAUUGACGUUACCCGCAGAAGAAGCACCGGCUAACUCCGUGCCAGCAGCCGCGGUAAUACGGAGGGUGCAAGCGUUAAUCGGAAUUACUGGGCGUAAAGCGCACGCAGGCGGUUUGUUAAGUCAGAUGUGAAAUCCCCGGGCUCAACCUGGGAACUGCAUCUGAUACUGGCAAGCUUGAGUCUCGUAGAGGGGGGUAGAAUUCCAGGUGUAGCGGUGAAAUGCGUAGAGAUCUGGAGGAAUACCGGUGGCGAAGGCGGCCCCCUGGACGAAGACUGACGCUCAGGUGCGAAAGCGUGGGGAGCAAAACAGGAUUAGAUACCCUGGUAGUCCACGCCGUAAACGAUGUCGACUUGGAGGUUGUGCCCUUGAGGCGUGGCUUCCGGAGCUAACGCGUUAAGUCGACCGCCUGGGGAGUACGGCCGCAAGGUUAAAACUCAAAUGAAUUGACGGGGGCCCGCACAAGCGGUGGAGCAUGUGGUUUAAUUCGAUGCAACGCGAAGAACCUUACCUGGUCUUGACAUCCACGGAAGUUUUCAGAGAUGAGAAUGUGCCUUCGGGAACCGUGAGACAGGUGCUGCAUGGCUGUCGUCAGCUCGUGUUGUGAAAUGUUGGGUUAAGUCCCGCAACGAGCGCAACCCUUAUCCUUUGUUGCCAGCGGUCCGGCCGGGAACUCAAAGGAGACUGCCAGUGAUAAACUGGAGGAAGGUGGGGAUGACGUCAAGUCAUCAUGGCCCUUACGACCAGGGCUACACACGUGCUACAAUGGCGCAUACAAAGAGAAGCGACCUCGCGAGAGCAAGCGGACCUCAUAAAGUGCGUCGUAGUCCGGAUUGGAGUCUGCAACUCGACUCCAUGAAGUCGGAAUCGCUAGUAAUCGUGGAUCAGAAUGCCACGGUGAAUACGUUCCCGGGCCUUGUACACACCGCCCGUCACACCAUGGGAGUGGGUUGCAAAAGAAGUAGGUAGCUUAACCUUCGGGAGGGCGCUUACCACUUUGUGAUUCAUGACUGGGGUGAAGUCGGAACAAGGUA